CCUACGGGAGGCAGCAGUGAGGAAUAUUGCGCAAUGGGGGAAACCCUGACGCAGCGACGCCGCGUGAAGGAUGAAGGUUUUAGGAUCGUAAACUUCUGUUAAGUGGGAAGAAAGACUACGUGUUAAUAGCACGUGGGGAUGACGGUACCACUAAAGAAAGCACCGGCUAACUUCGUGCCAGCAGCCGCGGUAAUACGAGGGGUGCAAACGUUAUUCGGAUUUAUUGGGCGUAAAGGGUACGCAGGCGGUUUGUUAAGUCAACUGUUAAAUCUCCCGGCCUAACCGGGAAUCAGCGGUAGAUACUGGCAGACUAGAGGAUGGAAGAGAGAAGUGGAAUUCUUGGAGUAGAGGUAAAAUUCGUAGAUCUCAAGAGGAACACCGAUGGCGAAGGCAGCUUCUUGGUCCAUAUCUGACGCUCAGGUACGAAAGCGUGGGGAGCAAACAGGAUUAGAUACCCGGGUAGUCC
rnacentral:rRNA from 1 species